rnacentral:miRNA from 1 species
CAUACCAUUUGCAAAAGUAGACAACCCAAGGUAUUGCAAGUGGGGUAUUUCCAGUCUUUCUUAGUAGCCACUUAGUCACAAACACUGGUCAAAUAUUAGUUUUUUUGCUUUUUUCACACAAAAACAAAUAUGAAAGCUAACUUUGGCCAGUGUUUGUGACUAAGUGGCUACUAAAAAAGACUAAACAUACCCCACUUUCAAUACCUUGGGUUGUCUACUUUUUCAAAUGGUAUG